GACGAACGCUUUCUUCUUUCUUAACACAUGCAAGUCGAACGGAAAGGCCCUUCCUGUGUUGGGUGCCUGGGGGGCGGACGGGUGAGUAACACGUGAGUUACCUGCCCCUUUUUUUUGGAUGACUUCAAGUAAUUCGGGCUAAUACCAUAUAGCAGCUCCUCCUGGAUGGUGGGGGGUGGAUCGUUUCGGCGGUUGGGGAUGGACGCGCGGCUGUUUAGCUUGUUGGUUGGGUAGUGGCUUACCCAGGCUUUGACGGGUAGCCGGCCUGAGAGGGUGACCGGCCACAUUGGGACUGAGAUACGGCCCAGACUCCUACGGGAGGCAGCAGUGGGGAAUAUUGCACAAUGGGCGGAAGCCUGAUGAAGAAACGCCGCGUGCGGGAUGACGGCCUUCGGGUUGUAAACCGCUUUAGCCUGUGACGAAGCGUGAGUGACGGUAAUGGGUGAAGAAGCACCGGCUAACUACGUG
rnacentral:rRNA from 1 species